rnacentral:rRNA from 1 species
CCCUUAGAUGUCCUGGGCCGCACGCGCGCUACACUGACAUGUUCAACAAGUUUCUCCUAGUUCGACAGGACUGGGAAAUCUUUGAACGCAUGUCGUGAUAGGGAUAGAUCAUUGCAAUUAUUGAUCUUGAACGAGGAAUUCCUAGUAAACGCGAGUCAUCAGCUCGCAUUGAUUACGUCCCUGCCCUUUGUACACACCGCCCGUCGCACCUACCGAUUGAAUGUUUCGGUGAAGAUUCCGGAUAGGACUGAUUUGAUUUAUUUCAUUUCUGACCUAAAAGCCAUCUAAACCUCAACAUGUAGAGGAAGGUGAAGUCGUAACA